rnacentral:lncRNA from 1 species
UAUAAUACCAAUCAGCAAGAACUAAGGAGAGAAUUGCAAUUUAUACAUGAAAUAGAAAAACAGCAUGGCUAUGGCUUAGGAUUCAUAAGACAAAUGCAAGAAAAAGUUAAACAAACGCUAGAUGGAGUAAAUACUGCCCAACUGAGAAUGGAAGACAGGGAGGAUAGUAAUGAGUUGUACAUACCAUUACCAGCCCAAAUAGCGAAACGUAAGACAGUUAGAAACCUGUUGCAAAAAAUGAAAAGAAAGCCAGUAAUACAGAGGACACAGACAAUCUUUGAUAAAAUAAGGAAUGAAAAAGAUAAAAGAA